CUCCAGCACGCUCUUCUUCGAGACCCAGAGAAAUACUCUUAUCACCAGCAAACUCUUCUUCAAGACCGAGAGAAAUAAUUUCUUUUAUCACCAGAAAUCCUUUCUCUCAAGCCAUUUUCGGGAAGAAAUUGAGACCAAGAGAUACCUGAGAAGAAGCAAAUCCAUCGCUGGUUCGUUGUUGCUUGCUGGUUCUGCUCCUUGCCUGCUACUGCGCUUUCCUUGAUUGUCGUUUCUGCUGUUGUCUCUGCUAAGGACCAGUGGACCAAAACUCUCGAUCGACCUUGCUAUUGUAGUAAGAGUUUAUUUCUUCUUCUUAUCCUUUGCUAUUAGAUUUGCCUUUGAUGAUUUAAUAUUUUCUACUUAGAUUUGUCGUUAAUUAACCUACCAAAUAGCAAAAGCAAUUGCCCAAAAAUGGUGAUGGGUUUUAUUUUGAUCCUCCAUUAUGAUGGUUGUGGUUGCGGGCAUGAUUUUUUUUUUCUUGAAAUAAGCGGCUAGGUGUAGAUAAGUUUGCGAUUUUGAUCUUCCAUUUGGUGUGAAUAAGUUUGCAAUAGAGGGGCUAAUGUAGGUAUGAUCUGUUUGGUUUCUUGAGACUGUUAAAAAUAGAAGUGGGAGACUGAUUAGUAUAUGAUGAUGUAGGUGGAGUUUAUCCUUUUGGCAGUGAAAUUACACUAAAAAUAAUGGGAAAGUAGCUGCAUAAUGUAUUGAAAAGGAAUUGAGGGGAAAGACCAGAAAAUGAUUAAACAUUUUUCUUUGUGGAUAUGUUCCCAUUUGAAUUUUGGGUGAAAGUGAGCUAGGCUAUAAUACUCCUGUUUUCUUUGUUAGUAAUUUUUUUAUAAACUGUUAUAUACUUGACAGACUCUUUAGUAUGUUUAUUUCUGUCAAAUUAAAUAACAGAAGGAUGAGUAGGAUGGGAUAAGUAGAAAGUAUUUAUGGAACAUAUUUGCUGACUUUAAAAAUUAAAAUGUGGUAUUAAAUGCAGUUUCAUUAUAAAGGGAAAAUUGAGAAUUCUCUAUUUCUAGGUUAAUUUCUGAUUGAACUUUUUCCUGAUGCUUUACAUGUUUUGUCUUGCAUUGUUCAUUUCCUCUCAUAAUUUAGCAAAUAUGAGUUCUUUGGCUUUGGGGCCAAUGGAGCUUUCACCACAAUGAAGGAGUAUUAGGGAUUUGCUGUCUGAACUUCUAGAUUUUUUUCUCUGUUUAUUAUAUACUGCACUUUAGAUGAUCGUGACAGUUUUAGAUAUUGGUUUUUAACAAAUGAUUCCUGUUUGUAUGAAAUGGAAUUGUGUCGUUAUUUAAUUGUUUUAAAAUCUAUAAUUUUCCUUUGUAAUGUUCUUUAAUUUUUUUGAUUUCAUGUUCGGUUAUCUAAAUUCAAAUAACCAAUAUACACUACCUUUUGAGAAAAAAACAUUAAAUAAUCUGGUUCGAGCGUGCAUGGGUCUUAUGCAGGUGAUUGCUAGGGUGUUUGGAACUGGUACAAGUAUAAAAAGAUAAAUUCUAAUUAGACUUGGGAUGAUUUCAGGUAUUAUAUAACAAGAUUUGGGUUUGAGUAUUCUUUAUUUCGCGCGUAAUCUACCCUGGCAAUCAGGUUAGUCAUGUUCUUGUCUAGUCAUACUGUUGAUGCGUGAUGGCAAAAGAGAAGGAAAUAGGUGAAGGGAGAAACGGGAAGCAAAAGAUGAGCAUGGUCAUGUAAACGGCAACAAAAGGUGAGGGUGAAAGUUUAAGGAGUAUUGCAGGUGGAAUAGGAGGAGGAUGAGCAAGGGCUUUGAGAAUGGAGGGUAUAGCUAAUUAGCAUAAGUCAUAGGAAGGUAAGACCUUUCCUUGAAAAUAGAAAGGAGGAGAAUUCUCGGGUUAGAGGGCUUGAACCUCAGAGUUCUUGGAGGAAGAUUUAAAUAAUACUUCUUAACUGCUGAUGGUGACAAUUACAUGGUACCAUUUUGAUAUUUUUUGAACUACAUAUCUUAAAAUAUCAAAUUGCUAAAUCAGAUAAUAUUUUUUUUCUGUAUUUUUCCUUAAAAAUAUUUUGAUUGAACUUAAUUGUUAUAGAACUACAAUUCAUUGAAUUAAAUUAAACAAACCACUUAACUUGAUUAUGUUUUUCAAAUUUUCAAAAGCAAAUGACCCAGCAUUGACAUCCACUACUUGUCUCCACUUGCAGCUUAUUGGUACAAAGUGUCCGCCACAUAGUAGCCAGUGGUUUCAAUUUCCAUGUUCCUUCCAAAACCCAAGUCUAGUGUCUUGAAACAAUUGUUCUUUGUCACUUUUCAAAAUCCAAUCCUUUCCCGUGCUAAUCACCUCUACCAAAAGCUACCUCAACAGUACACACAAACCUGCAAUUAUGUGGAUGUGUACAUGAAAUGGAAGAAAGAUUCAUACUAUGAGUCGAUAGAGCACAUACACAAGUCCAAGGAGCUCAAACCCAUCCUUUCUUUGAAAGAUUUCAUAGCCCAAAACCCAAAUGGUUGUAUCCCAAUCUCUGAUGUAUCAAAAAGAGGACUGCAAUUUGAUGUGAAGAUCAAGGUUGCUAGGUUUUUGAGACAAUAUCCCUCAAUCUUUGAGGAGUUUGUUGGUCCAAAAUAUAAUUUGCCUUGGUUUAGAUUGACGGAAGAAGCUGCUGCAAUUAAUAGAGAAGAGAACAAGGUGCUUGAGGAGUAUAAAGAGGAUUUGAAAGAGAGAUUGAAGAAGUUUAUAUUAAUGAGUAAGGAGAAGGUAUUGCCUUUCAAGAUUAUUAAAGGCAUGUUAUGGUAUUUGGGUUUACCGGAAGAUUUUUUGCAGCAUCAAGAUAAGAAUUUUGACAGUUCUUUUAGAGUUGUGGAGUUGGAGGAUGGAUCAAAGGGAUUGGGUGUUGAAAGUACCAAAAAGAUUUUGUCAGUAUUGCAGAAAAAUGCAAUGAGGAAAGGGUUAUAUUAUGGAGAGCCAAUGGAGGCAAUUGAAUUUCCCCUUUUCCCAUCAAAGGGUUUGAGGUUGAGGAGAAAGAUUCAGGAUUGGUUGAAAGAGUUCCAAAAACUUCCUUAUGUAUCACCCUAUGAAGAUAAUUCACAUUUAGAUCCUAACAGUGAUAUUGGAGAGAAAAGAGUUGUGGGUUUGCUUCACGAAUUUCUUUCUUUGUUUGUUGAGCAUUCAGUAGAAAGGAAGAAGCUUUUGUGCCUUAAGAAGUAUUUUGAGUUGCCCCAGAAGGUGCAUAAGGCAUUUGAAAGGCAUCCCCACAUGUUUUACUUGUCUUUCAGGAACAAGACUUGCACAACAAUUCUUAAGGAGGCAUAUGGUGAUGAUGAACUGGCUAUGGAGAGGCAUCCAAUGGCGAUGAUCAGGAAGAAGUACAUUAAGUUGAUGAAGGAAUCAGAGGUGAUUUUGAAGAGGAGAAGAGCAAACAAUCCAUUUCUUGAAUAUAAGAAGUUGGAUUUUGAAAUGGAUUCUGUCAAUGAAGAAAGAAGAGAAGAGGAGAAACAGUAGGGUUUCAGGCAGACUGGUAGAGACUAAUUAGAGGUAAAAGUUGCUUUUACGUGAUGUUCAUUGCCUUUAUUUUAUAGAGUUCCCUCCAUCUUUGUGAUCAACUUUAUAUUACUAAAAAAAUGCAAUGCAUGCACGUUACCAUGUCCUGAACAGAAAAAAAAGAGAAGAAAGAAAAAAUCUAAUCCUGUGUAUCAAUGUAAAGAAUAUUGGACUUCCAGCUUCAUACAAUUGGAGGAUUAUUCAUUUAUAUUCAAUUGCCCAAGUCAAAUUUUAUUCUAGAACUAUUAGGCGCUUUUCUUAGACAGAAACUUCACCGAGAAAAUUUUGUAAGGCAAAACGAUUUGAUAAACAACGAAAUGCAAAACAAAAAAGUGAACCAACACUGUCUAUCUUUCCUUUUUUCCUUAUUUGUUAGCUGCAAAGGCAGACAAAAGUGCUGUUUAAAGAUUGAUCUAGAACACUGCCAAACCAUCAUUAUUAAACCACUCGCCCUACACAUAUAAAUAAUUUUAUGAAAUAAUAUUUGCUUUUGCAUGAAAUCAACUAGUUAAGGUUAGUAUAGACCUGUAAGGAACUCUCUGGAAGCACAUCUGCUCCCAGUACUUCUAGUUUUUGUACUCGUUCUACUUUUAUGAUAUAUAUUUUUUGUAGUCUGACAAAUUGGAACUAAUGAGGGAGAGGAUGAUAAAAGUGCAUGAGCUUUUUCAUGAGACAGGCUCCAGAGUUUGUCAUAGUUAUGAUUCCCAGGGUUGGCAGGAAACCUUUUUUUCCUUAUUUCAUUAAUGAAAGUACUCGUGCAAACUGCUUUGCUUGCAAAAAUGGGGUAGGAUAUUCAGGCUAGAUGCACUUUUACAACUGCAAUAUCCACAUUUGCAAUGAAGAGAAGGGUGUGGAUCAGGUGCGCGCCCUUUAAAUGGUACAAAAUGAUUCUGAACUCACCAGCUUGACAUUGAUACAGGCACCCCUAGUCAAUGUAGAGAUCAGAGGAGUGCCAGCACUUAAAUUUUUGGGAGACAUCAUAUGGAAAUGAGCUCUGAAGAGCAAUAUUAGAAAUGCAGAGAGCCUCCUCCAUCUUUGUGGUAGGCUUGCAUACACUUGGAGGAGCAGCUAAGUUACCAAACAAAAUAGGAAUAGUCAUUCAUUGGCAAACAAGAUAGUUCCAUUACAGCUUUUAACAAAAUUUACAUAAGAAGAAACCAUUUCGUUGAGUGGCAAUUACAGGAUACAGAAGAUGAAGCCCCUAAUAAUCAAGAAGCCAUAUAGGGAAGGUAACGGUUGCAUGUUAAGUUUUUCCAUAUUAACAUGGUUCUUGUUGCAUAUACAUGAAGUUUGUAUUUGUUCUUUUCAAGUCAGUUAGAUUUCUCAUGUAAUAGUUCCAUUUUUUAAAGUUUGUACUAAUUAAUAUAGUAUCAUAUAAGGAGCGGUUAGCCAUUGCACAGUGAAAUGAACAGUUCAUUUGAAUUGAUUUUGGCUGAGAGAA